UGGUCACCCAGGAUGCUCAAUCCAUGUGAUCCUGGAGCUGUGGCCUGCUGGAAACAUUUUUUCUGGAAGGAUUGCUUCAGACCUGUGUGUGAUUUCUUGUUAUGUGCUACAAAGACAAACGAGGGGCCAGGAUUGGGGCAUGAAAUGGGGUAUGUCACCCAGGGGCUGCCAGGAUGCAGGAGCCAUGGGCAAUUUUCUCCAUUCUGCCCUUUGGGAACCACCCCCUAAGGGAUGUAUUAACUGGCUUCAUUUGCCUGAGCUCUCCCAGGGCUGGCAGGACCUGCUGGGACACCCUGGCUCCCUGUGCUGCUGCCUGUCCUGUUUUAUGGCCCAGGAUCUGCCCUCAUGACACAGCUCCUUUCUUCAAGGUGUCCAUUCCAAAGCUGUAGGGAGGCAGAAACUCCAGCCAGGUCACCCCAGUUUGUCCCCUGGACCAGGCACCCUGGUCCCACUAUCCCAAGGCUCCCCACUGGAGCAAAGCUGGCUUCAGCAGACUCAGAAAUGAGGGUGGGAAUGAGAAUUAAAAAGUUCUGCACUCAUCUUCCAACUCCAAACCUCAGGCUCAGCUCUUCUCCUGCCUCCAGUUUUGCUCAAAUGUCCCAGCUUUCCAUCCAGCAGUUUGGGUCAAGAUUCUGUUUGACCUUUUCCACCCCAUCCCUGGAAGCUGCAGUUCCCACCUGGCUGAGGAGAGUGUAACCUGGGACAGAAUCCCACGCACAGGGGGAGCAGGGUGCUCGCUGCCCAGGAGCAGGGAUGACAAGUGGCAAUUUCCCAAAUACUCCGGAGCCUCAGGCACAUCCAAGCUGGCCAGAUGUGGCUUUCUCUGACCCUCAUCUUCACGUGGCUGCAGUGCACAGAUGCUGCUCAAUAAACACAGGAUUUGGGGAAGCUGGGGGCUAAAUGGAGCAGUCACUAAUUGCUUUGCUCUUUGUUCCUUCCCAGUCGGUGCCUCCGGGUCCCCAAGGCUGGAGACCUCCACGGUCCGGACGUACUCGUGCUGAGGGUCAGCGAGAUGGGAGCCAGGCCCUGGCAAAUCCCCAUGUCCAUAUGCCACGUGCUGGCUGCCUUCCAGGAUGAGAGCCCAGCCUGUGCCUGUUCCUCGUCCCAGACCCACAGACUGUCAGUGCUGAGGACCGACAGGACCUGCCCCUCCUGCUCGUGCACUCCCUGCUUCUCCCGGCUCCCGUGGCUCCCCCCGUGGGCUGUCCCCCGCUUCUCCCCGCGCUGGCUGGGCCAUGGAUGCGCUCCUGGUGUGCCAUGGAUGCUGUCCUGGUGUGCUGCAAUCUGGGGAGCAGCACAGACACCCCAAAGUGUCUGCCAUGUCUGGAAGCCUCUCUUCUGCCUGGUUCAUGUUGCCAAUCUGCCACAGGGCUGCACGGACUCGCCUGAGCCCUGAGCAUCAGGGAUGCUGCUGCCCACGGGACUGAAAGCCAAGGAAGAUUCAGGCUCAUGAAAACCCUCCCUGCAGGGAGGCCGGGCAAGGAGCUGCCCCCAAGGGGGAUGGGGCAGGGCUGGUGCUGGGUGGGACGAAGGGGGCCCAGCACAAGCUGAGGAGGGCAGUGGCUGCCCAGGGCUGGCAGGCAAGGUGCUGAUUUUGGUGCUGUCAGGUGCCCUGUUCAGGGGGGCUGUGCCUGGGACCGCCCCUCACGGCUCACAGGGACCGUGCCCAGCACCCACGGGAGAGGGGACCCUCCUUGGGUGCCUGGGGAUACAACGGGAGCCCCCCAGCCCCGGGACGUGCCCACCCUUUCCCUUGGGUACAGAGGAGAUGCUCUCCCCUCCUGCCCCCUGGCAGGGGUCACUCAAGGAGGCUCUUCACUCUUCCCAUUUCUCCCCCGUAGGGUAGGAUCUCUUUGUCUCCUCAUGCCACGUUUGCCUUGUGUGGCCCUUAUUUCUGAUGUGAUAUUUAUUGAUGGCUGGAAUGACCUUAUACUUAUCAUGUGCUGUCUGGAAGUGCAAUAUCUGAGAGACUCUACAGUCACAACGUCUUUUCGGUGUAUCAUUUGCCUAAUACAGUAUUAAAUAUUUUUUUAAUUUGAAGAGUCAGUGAGCCCUUUAUAUUGAUGCCCUAUUUCUUUCAUCAUAUUAUUGGUACUGCAUGGACUCCAAACCCUGGAUCGGGUCAGGAAAGGAUGUAUGUGUGUUCCAAUAAACAGGAUUUUAAAACA